rfam:Oryza punctata chromosome 11, whole genome shotgun sequence.
GGAUACGAUAAGACCAGCACUGAAGCACCGGAUCCCAUCAGAACUCCGAAGUUAAGCCUCCUUGGGCGAGACUAGUACUAGGAUCGGUGACCUCCUAGGAAGUCCUCGUGUUGCAUCCC